rnacentral:rRNA from 1 species
AGAGUUUGAUCCUGGCUCAGGAAGAACGCUAGCGGCAGGCCUUAUACAUGCAAGUCGAGGGGCAGCAUUUACUUCGGUAAAUGGCGACCGGCGCACGGGUGAGUAACGCGUAUGCAACCUACCUUUAACUGGGGCAUAGCUCGAGGAAACUCGAAUUAAUUCCCCAUAGUACAAUAUAAUAUCGCAUGAUAUAAUUGUUAAAGAUUUAUCGGUUAAAGAUGGGCAUGCGUCUGAUUAGCUUGUUGGUAAGGUAACGGCUUACCAAGGCAACGAUCAGUAGGGGGUCUGAGAGGAUGAUCCCCCACACUGGUACUGAGACACGGACCAGACGUCUACGGACGGCAGCAGUAAGGAAUAUUGGGCAAUGGGCGCAAGCCUGACCCAGCCAUGCCGCGUGCAGGAUGACGACCCUAUGGGUUGUAAACUGCUUUUAUAUAGGAAGAAAAUACUCUUGCGAGAGGAUCUGACGGUACUAUAUGAAUAAGGACCGGCUAACUCCGUGCCAGCAGCCGCGGUAAUACGGAGGGUUCAAGCGUUUUCCGGAUUUAUUGGGUUUAAAGAGUGCGUAGGUGGUUUAUUAAGUCAGUGGUGAAAUCCUGCAGCUCAACUGUAGAACUGCCAUUGAUACUGGUAAACUUGAGUUUGGUUUAGGUAAGCGGAAUUUAUGAUGUAGCGGUGAAAUGCAUAGAUAUCAUAAGGAACACCAAUAGCGAAGGCAGCUUACUGGACCAUAACUGACACUGAGGCACGAAAGCGUGGGUAGCGAACAGGAUUAGAUACCCUGGUAGUCCACGCCGUAAACGAUGCUCACUCGAUGUUAGCGAUAUACUGUUAGCGUCCAAGCUAAAGCGUUAAGUGAGCCACCUGGGGAGUACGCCGGCAACGGUGAAACUCAAAGGAAUUGACGGGGGUCCGCACAAGCGGUGGAGCAUGUGGUUUAAUUCGAUAAUACGCGAGGAACCUUACCUAGGCUAGAAUGCGAGUGACAUCCAGAGAGAUCUGGAGUUCUUCGGACACAAAGCAAGGUGCUGCAUGGUUGUCGUCAGCUCGUGCCGUGAGGUGUUGGGUUAAGUCCCGCAACG